rnacentral:rRNA from 1 species
GAGUUGCUGCUGGCUCUCUAGGGGGCAUGUGCACACUUGUCAUCUUGAUAUCUCCACCUGUGCAUCUUUUGUAGACCUGGAUAUCUUUCUGAAUGGCCCUUGGCAAUUCAGGUUAUGAGGAUCGGCUUUAGUCUUUCCUUGCAUUUUCAGGCCUAUGUUUUCUCAUAUAACUUCUUGAUGUAUGUUAUAGAAAGUAAUGGGCCCUUCUAAGUGCCCUAUAAUCUAUACAACUUUCAGCAACGGAUCUCUUGGCUCUCGCAUCGAUGAAGAACGCAGCGAAAUGCGAUAAGUAAUGUGAAUUGCAGAAUUCAGUGAAUCAUCGAAUCUUUGAACGCACCUUGCGCUCCUUGGUAUUCCGAGGAGCAUGCCUGUUUGAGUGUCAUUAAUGAUAUAUCAACCUCCUCAGCUUUUGCUUGUCGAGUUUGGAUGUGGGGGGUUUUUUGCUGGCCUACUCGAGGUCGGCUCCCCCUGAAAUUCAUUAGCGGAACAAGUUUGUUGGACUCCGUUCAUUGCGUGUGAUAACUAUCUACGCUAUUGACAUGUGAGGCAAAGAGUUCAGCUUCUAAUGUCCAUUCACUUGGACAA